rnacentral:rRNA from 1 species
AUGGCUUGGGCGCCUUCUUGCAGCUGUACUACCGGGAUGAUGAUGGCCACUAGGUUCAGUCGGUGCGCCCCGCCGGCGAUGGGAGCAAGGCGGACCUCACCUACGACCGUGCACCUCCGGCCAUCUCCGGCGUCGCCGACCUCAUGGAGCAAGACAGCCGUUGGGGACAGGGCGCUCGUGAGUACGACUACCAAGAGGAGGACGGUGCCCCCGGCUUGUAACAACAAGCCGGGGCCGUCCGGGCAAGCCCCGACGAGCAAGAAGGACCUAUCGUUCGACAUAAACUUGACGGCUGAGGACGACGACCAUUUCAAGAAGAACUUCUUGGAGCCCAUGCGCGAUAGGCUGAGCGACCCGGAAGGCCCCACUGUGGACAUCUUGGAUCCAGACUCGGGAAAUGUCGUGCAUAUCCCUAGGCUCCCUCCGCAGGUAAGGGACAAUCCGGCCCCUGAGCUGAUGAACCUGACGCUCCACCUUGGUGAGGAAGCAAGGGUCACCCUGAGUGUGCAGACGGACAACCUCUACGUCGUCGGCUUCCGCAACGGCGAGGGCAAGGCGUUCGAGUUUACCCAUUACAAUCCGGACGGCACACCCAGAGAGGGGUACCGCAUGAUCCCAGGGUCCACCAACCUGGGAUACAGCGGAUCCUAUGCAGGAGGAAACGGGAUGGGUGGAUUAUCUCAGCAGCAGGUCGUCCUGCUGGACAGCGGCAACCGCUUUUUUAAUUCCAACGUCUACGGCCGCGUCAACGCAACAACCAAAUUGGCCUCCGGCGAGGAGCUGCCGUACACUCUGCUCAGCAAGCAGGCAAAUCAGUCCCACACGACGCGACACCACGAGUCCGUACCACUCCAGAGGAACCUCAUCUCGGCACAGCUCGGCGCAGAGCUUCAUAUCUCGGCCGACUUAUGGGACUACAACAAGCUUGUGUUCUCUGAUGAUCAGAUCGUGGUUGGCUCCGUAGUCUUCGUCCCGCGCCAUGCCGGAACGACCGAUAAAGCGGACAUCAACGGGCCCUGCGGCAAGGUCAGGGUCGAGGUCACUUGGUCUACCUCCUACUCUUAUAAAAGCAUGAAGGACGAAGAACCAAAAUCAUCUCCGCCAUUUAUCCAUGAUGAUCUCUGA